rnacentral:rRNA from 1 species
UCCGUAGGCGGUUUUGUAAGUCAGUGGUGAAAGCCCAUCGCUCAACGGUGGAACGGCCAUUGAUACUGCAAGACUUGAAUUAUUGGGAAGUAACUAGAAUACGUAGUGUAGCGGUGAAAUGCUUAGAGAUUACAUGGAAUACCAAUUGCGAAGGCAGGUUACUACCAAUAUAUUGACGCUGAUGGACGAAAGCGUGGGGAGCGAACA